rnacentral:rRNA from 1 species
UACGUAGGGUGCAAGCGUUGUCCGGAAUUAUUGGGCGUAAAGAGCUCGUAGGCGGUUUGUCGCGUCGAAUGUGAAAACCCGGGGCUCAACCCCGGGCCUGCACGCGAUACGGGCAGACUAGAGUUCGGUAGGGGAGUCUGGAAUUCCUGGUGUAGCGGUGAAAUGCGCAGAUAUCAGGAGGAACACCGGUGGCGAAGGCGGGACUCUGGGCCGAUACUGACGCUGAGGAGCGAAAGCGUGGGGAGCAAACAGG